UUUCUUUCAUUAUUCUCUUUAGGAAAUGAGAAUAUAGCUGGGACGAGUCGGGAAAUGGAGUGAUGGUCCAGGAUAAAUGGCUUUAAUAGUCCUCACUAUUCUACGGAAUAAUGUGAUAAUAAUUGUAAUGAGGACUUCAUUGAGUGUGGAUAUUGUCUAGAAGAUAAUAUUCUUGUUUAAACUCUCAGCUAUGUUUUGUCGUAU
rnacentral:lncRNA from 1 species